rnacentral:lncRNA from 1 species
CUUUUUUGAAGCUUCAAAACUCUAGCAGUUGCAUGGAAAAGGGCUGUAUUUGAUGACUAAUUUUUCCUUUUGUGUUCCACGGAAAAAAGUUUUGGUUGGAAUGACAUGAGAAUGAAAAAUUAAUGGCAGAAUUUUCAGUUUUGGGUGAACCGUUACUUUUUCUAAAUAAUUCAGCCCAACUUGGCAAAAGGUUUUGAUGUAAACAGUAGUUGUUUUAGUAGAAAAUCUCUCGAUUUUAUUCUAAAGAGCACGAGAAACACUCAAGAGUACAGAAGCAGCACAGAAGCAUCACUGAUAUCAGGUGUUCAUGAACAUCUCUUUGCCUGCUCCUGUCCUUCUCCUUAACACAACUUUUUGAAGCAGAUGACAAGCUCUCAGUGUACUUUUUUGUCGGUAUCUCUCUCUUCAACAGACGAGAACUUUACUCUCAAACAUGAUAGAGCCUUCCUCUUGUCGAUGGCCAACCGUGGCAAAGACACGAAUGGGUCCCAGUUCUUCAUAAACUCUAGCAUCCUGCUCUACCAAGAACUACUAAGACAGCGCCUCAUCUAGAUGGGAUCAUUUGGAUGCAAGCUGUAUCCUUAAAUCCCACAAUUUCUUGUAACUGUAAGGAUUUUUGAUCUAAUUUAGAGUGCAUGUGGUCUUUGGGCUGGUCAUCUCUGGCUUUGAGGUCAUAAAGAAAAUCGAAGGGCUGAAGACCGACUCAGCCAGCAGACCCUAUGCUGACGUCAGAGUGAUUGACUGCGGACAGCUGAUUACAAAGUCUGCUAACGAUGGUAAGCUUGUUCCUGAGUGCGAGAGAUAAACUAGGAAUUUUGGCUGCACACUUUCCGCCUGUCACUAUGCUGUUUGUCUUUACCUAAUGGAAAAUAUUUUUUAAUCUACAUUGUGGAGUGAAAUAUGGUUUAAAAAUGGAACUGUGAAAGAUCAUAAAACAAAAUGACGGGUGCUUUGAAACACUGCAGACACCAAAUUUAAUACACACACUUACACGGUGUCCUAACCAGGCAUGAUGCUACGAAGCAUCAAGUAACAAUCGAGAGUUUUUUCCCUAACCACCCA